GAUCAUGGCUCAGGACGAACGCUGGCGGCGUGCUUAACACAUGCAAGUCGAACGAGAGCGUAGAGAAAGCUUGCUUUUUCUACAAUCUAGUGGCAAACGGGUGAGUAACGCGUAAACAACCUGCCCUACGGAUGGGGACAACAGCUGGAAGCGGCUGCUAAUACCGAAUACGUUCCGAAAGUCGCAUGACAGUCGGAAGAAAGGAUGGCCUCUAUUUAUAAGCUAUCGCCGGAGGAGGGGUUUGCG
rnacentral:rRNA from 1 species